GAGGGCAUAGCUCAGUGGUAGAGUGCCUGCCUAGCUGCACAAAGUCUGGGUUCAAUCCCUAGUACCUCUA
rnacentral:tRNA from 1 species